rnacentral:misc_RNA from 1 species
UUUAUGAUGUCAAUGUCUUUACCUGUCUAAUAAAACUUCUCUGGUAAUUAUUAACCUUCUUCAAGAAAAUCAAGAACUACUUUCCCUCUUCACAAACCUCAUUAAUAUCACUGAAAGGAAUGAAAGCUAUGGCAGAACUCAUAACCACCACCACUGGCUAUAUAUAUGUGUGUAUCAGCUGAGUAAUCCAACCUCAACCGAUACUAAUUCCAGGACCUUCUUUGAUGAACAAAAUGUUAUCACAAGUUAUUCUUGUUUUGAUCUUCACCAGCGUAGUCGCUUCACAAUCAAUCAUCAAGACUCUACCUGGGUUUGAUGGAGAUCUACCGUUUACGCUUGAAACUGGGUAUAUCGGAGUAGGCGAGAUGGAUGAAGUGCAGCUAUUCUACUACUUCAUUGAGUCUGAGAGGAAUCCAAGACUUGAUCCCCUUGUGCUUUGGCUCACAGGAGGCCCUGGCUGCUCUGCUUUAUCUGCCAUUUUCUA